rnacentral:rRNA from 1 species
GACAUAGGUGGCGAUCGUUAUCCGGAAUUAUUGGGCGUAAAGGGUGCGUAGGUGGUUUAAUAAGUUACUGGUGGUAAAUCGGGGCUCAACCUCGUGGAAGUCAGUAAUACUAUUAGACUAGAGGACCGGAGGAGUUAACGGAAUGGCUCAUGUAGGGGUAAAAUCCGCAAAUAUGAGUUAGAACACCAAUUGGCGAAGGCAGUUAACUAGUCGGUUCCUGACGUUGAGGCACGAAAGCGUGGGGAGCAAACGGG